UGAAGCUCUCGGGUGUGGCGGCUCCUCCGGCGCGAGUUGCGAUUUGGUGUUUUGCUCCGGUCAACCUGUAGAGAAAAUGACGGUGGUCACAGUGGUAUAAAAAUUACAUCGAACGGGAACCGGGAAGGGCCUCAUCGGAGGCAAAAACUGAGAAAACCCGCGACGGCGCUACUGGACUUCGGCGGUGUUUUCCGACCAAUAAGCCAGUGGUUUGGCUCUGAUUUGGCCACAGGGAGGUUAAGCAUCGAAAAAAGAGCCAAGGGGAGAAAUUUUACCUCGUUUGGCGGCCGAAAAAUCCUCUGGUGCUACAGCGGGUGGCGACGGCCGGUUCCUCCGGUGGCUGGGUCGUCUUCUCUAGCGAGGGUUCUAGCGGCUAGGGUUUGGGGUUGGGUGUGGAUGCGAUUAUUUAUAACCUUUCCCUUUUAAUCUGAGCCGUCCAUCAUGAUUUAAUCUAGACCGUUCGAUCGCGAUUAAAUUGGAAAUGAAUCUGGACCGUCCGUGCGUGAUCAAAUUUGGGUCGUCCGUGCACGCAGGAACGAAUCUGGGCCGUCCGAUCGCGCGCACGCGGAUCGCUCACGU
rnacentral:lncRNA from 1 species